CCGAGGCUUCUCAUGACAUGGACCUGGGAUAGGACCUGAAAAUUGGCAUUUUCAACAAGUUCCAGGAUGAAGCCUCCAUAAAAAUCCCUGAUCCUCAGAAAGCUUCGGGGUCAGCGACUACAUCCGUGUACUGGGAGGGUGCUGCGCCCUACUCCAUGGGACAGAAGCUCCUGCAUUCAAGACCCCGCCAGAUCUCAUCCUAUGUAUCUCUUCAUCUGCUGCUCAUCUGGAAUCUUCCUUACUCCCAAAGCAUAGCCUUUUAGGCCCUCAUGUGAAUGUCUGGGAUGUUCACUGAGGCCUCUCUAUUCUGGCUGGGUCAGGACUCCAGUGUCUCGCUGGCAUUCUGUGACCUCUGAAAUAGCUCAGCUCCCCAGCAGCUGUUCUCUGCUAGGCCUUGCAGAGUCUCAGUCUGCACAUUCGUAGUUUAGGGUUUGACCAAGGACCUGAGGAGAACCUCUAUGAGAUUUCUGGGGCUCCUUCUCUGUCAACUCCAUCCUUCCUGGUACUCUACCAUGCAAGUUUUAUUAGCCCUGAACUCCAAUCUUCAUUUCCUCCACCAAGCAAGAUUGAUGCUCUCUACUUGAACUCCACUUCCUUGUGCCAUCAUUAGAGGCUUGGAAAUGUCUCCCAGGCAGAAAGACGUGAAACUCACUUCAUAUGAUUCCCUUCUCUCAGAUGUUGUAAACUUGCACUGUCUAUUGCCCAAUGACUGAAGACAAUUUUUUCAUUCAUUCUGUUUAGUUUUUUAGUUUUAUGAUGGGAGGUGAUAAUCAAUACAGGUACUCCACCAUGGGCACAAUCAGAAGUGCUAUUAUUAUUUAUUCUAUUCUAAAAGUAGAGAAAACAAAGACCAACUAUUCUAAGAAAAUGGGAAAGAUAUAUGAAAUUUCAAAUAAAAAGAAACGCAAAUGCUUCUGACACAUACAAAAAGAUGUUCAACCUCAGUGGUAAUAAGAAAGAUACAAAUUAAAACUACACGGAGAAACUCCUACUUACGGAGUAACAGGGACCAGAUUUACCUCCCCCCUUGAACAACAAAACUGGACAGAAUAUAUAAAACAACAAUUUUCAGACAUUGUACAAUAGCUAGACCAGAACUGUGAUCACUAAAAGAAGAUGAACCUUACGGUUUCCUCAGUUUACUUCUGGGAGCAGUUUACAAGCUGAAAUACAGGGAAGGGAAUCCAAACAAAGCCCAGUUGUCCUACUGAGUUGAAGAGAUGGAGAUGGGAGUUUAGGAAGAUGAAAGUGGAUAGAAUUUGUGAGGCAGAGUACCAAAGAGGAGGGAGCUUCAGAGAGAGAGCGUGAGUGAGCACAAUCUGGAGAACUGCAGAAGUUUCCUCAAGUCUUUGGCUCAGUACUAACAUAUACAUGUGUGAGAGGAAACUACAAGUGUGGGGAAAAAACUACCAGAAAGCAGAAGACUAAACGAUUCCCAGAGCUUGCAGGAGACUAGAAACGAUUCCUAUUUUUACUAGCCAGAAUAGAAACACCUCCUGGGGCCGGCCCAGUGGUGCAGCGGUUAAGUUCACAUGUUCCGCUUCUCAGCAGCCCAGGGUUCACCAGUUUGGAUCCCGAGUGCAGACAUGGCACCGCUUGGCAAAAGCCACGCUGUGGCAGGUGUCCCACAUAUAAAGUAGAGGAAGAUGGGCACAGAUGUUAGCCCAGGGCCAGUCUUCCUCAGCAAAAUGAGAAGGAUUGGCAGUAGUUAGCUCAGGGCUAAUCUUCCUCAAAAAAAGAAAAGAAAAAAAAAAAAGAAACACCUCCUAAAACACAGGACAUUGAAUAGAAUCUUUAGAAAAGCAUUGCCUCAACAGUUGGGCUCAAAUAGCACUAGACUAAAGGCUGCUCUGAAACUGUCCUAACAAAGCUUGAAAGCAAGCCUUGAAUGGAUCCAGUUUAUUUCAAGUAACUUAAAUUGCACUGGAACAAAGUCUGAAACUAUUUAAAAGAAAACAACAAAAUCCAGCAUCUACAACAUAAAAAUCACAUCUAUUACCCAGUCAAAAAUUGCCAGGAAUGCAAAGAGGGAGGAAAAUAGGAAUUACAACCAGCAGAAAAAUCAAUCAAUGGAAAUAGACCCUGAAAUAACAAAGAUGAUGUAAAUAUCAGAUAGGAACAUAUAAAAAUAGCUGCUAUAAAUACGCUGCAUAUCUUUAAGAGGGUAGAGAAAAACUUGAACAUGAGAAAAGAUAAAUGGAAGAUAUAAAAAAACCCAAAUGAAUAAAAAAGUCAACAAUGCAUGGGAUUAACAGGAGAUUAGUCACUGCAGAAAAAAAGAGGAGUGAAUCUGAAGGCAAUGAACUUGAAUAGAAGCUAUUGAAAAUGAAAGGUAGAAAAAAGACUGAAAAAGAUGAAGAGAACAUCUGUGAUUUAUGAGUCAAUAUCAAGUGGUUUAACAUACGUGUAACUGGAAUCCCAGAAAGGGAAGAGAGAGGGUCCGGAAAAAUAUUCAAAGAAGUCAUGGCCAUGGGGGCUGGCCCCGUGGCUGAGUGGUUAAGUUCACGUGCUCCGCCUUGAUGGCCCAGGAUUUUGCUGGUUCGGAUCCUGGGCGUGGACAUGGCACCACUCAUCAGGCCAUGCUGAGGCAGUGACCCACAUGCCACAACUAGAAGGACCCACAACUAAAAUAUACAACGAUGUACCAGGGGACUUUGGGGAGAAAAAGGAAAAAUAAAAAAAUCCUAAAGAAAAAAAAGAAGUCAUGGCCAAAAAUGUUCCAAAUUUGAUGAAAACUGAAAUCCUGCAUAUCCAACAUACCCCAAGGAGAAGAAAACCACACCAAGGCAUAUCAUAAUAAAAUUGCUUAAAAAAAAGGGAUAAAGAAAAUCUCUUCAAAGAAGGCAGAGAAUAAAGGCCCAUUAUGCACAGAGAAACAAGGAUGACACCAAGCUUCUCAGAAACUAUGUAAACCAAUCGAUAACUGCAUGUUAUCUCUAAUGUGCUGAAAGAAAAAAUCCCCCUAGAAUUCUAUAUUCAGGAAGAAAAUCUGUAAAAAAUUAAGGCAAAAUAAAGACGUUUUCACACAAACAGAAGCUGAGAUAAUUAAUCACCAGCAGAUCUGCAUACAAGAAACAUUAAAAGAAGUUCUUUAGUCAGAAGAAAGAUGAUACCAGAUGGAAAUUUGGAUCUACACAAAGGAAUGAAGAGCAUUGACAUGAUAAAUUUAAGAGUUUUUUUCUCAUUUUCGAUUUCUUUAAAAAUAUCAGUGGGGCCAGCCUGGUGGUGUAGUGGUUAAGUUUGUGUGCUCCACUUUGGCAGCCUGGAGUUCGUGGGUUCAGAUCCCAGGCAUGGACCUACACACCACUCAUCAGGACAGGCUGUGGCAGCGUCCCACAUACAAAACAGAGGAAGAUUGGCACAGAUGUUACCUCAGGGCCAAUCUUCCUUGCCAAAAUAAAUAAAUAACUAUAAAUAAAUAAAUAAAAACUCCUUAAAAAACAUUGAUAGUUUAAACCAAAAGUAAUAAUAUAUUGUGGGGUUUAUAACAAAUGUAGAAGUAAAAUGAUGGCAAGAGGGGCUGGCCCCGUGACAGAGUGGUUAAGUUUGCACACUCCACUUCAGUGGUGUGGCCCAGGGUUCUGCUGGCUCAGAUCCUGGGCAUGGAUGUGGCACGGCUCAUCAGGCCAUGUUGAGGCGGUGUCCCACAUGGCACAACCAGAAGCACUCAUGACUAGAAUAUACAACUAUGUACCGGGGGCUUUGGGGAGAAAAAGAAAAAAAAAGAUCGGCAACCGAUGUUAGCGCAGAUGCCAUUCUUAAAAAAAAAAUGAUGACAAGAAUAGCACAAGGACAAGAGCGGGGAAUGAAAGUCCACUGUUGAGAGUGGCCGUAAUCUCUGCAUUUCUGCCGGGAAUACUUCCUGCUCCUGGCAAUGGGAGGGGGCAGUCUCCGAGCUUUCCACUUGGCCCUUUCUGCUAUAAUGGCUCAUAUACACAGGUUAGGGAAUAAAUGUGAGAGCUCUGUUAGCUGCUAAGCAUACUUAUCUCAAUUACAUGUUUAGGGAGAAGAAAGGUGACAACAGGGCGGGCUACGGCCCUAGUGGAUGCGCGAGCAGAUUGUCUUCAUCCAGGCCUUCAUUUAUUACCUAGCCUCCACAUGUCUACUCUUACUGGGGGGCACGAUGGCAUUGUGAGUCUCAUGGUGCCAGUGUCAGCUCUGAUCUUAUAUUAAAGCUCUCAAGGGGCCGGCCUGGUGGCACAGUGGUUAAGUGCGCACGUUCCUCUUUGGUGGCCCGGGGUUCACUGGUUCGGAUCCCGGGUGCAGACAUGGCACCGCUUGGCAAGCCAUGCUGUGGUAGGCGGCCCAUGUGUAAAGUGGAGGAAGAUGGGCACGGAUGUGAGCUCAGGGCCAGUCUUCCUCAGCAAAAAGAGGAGGAUUGGCGGUAG
ensembl:lncRNA